GUUCCAGCCCUCCAGCAAGCGGAAGAACUUGGCAGCUUAGGCCAUGCGGUUCUGGCUUUAGAGUCAAGGACUGACAAAGGAAAGUCAUUGAGGCCAAGCAUGUGUCAGGAGUGUCCCUGAAUGGAGACCUAGAGAGAGACUGUAUGAAGCUAUGAGGUUGAAGCCUGGCUUGCCUUGGAGACCAGGAUGUUGCAGAUGCCACAGACAUGGAAUACCUGCCGGGGAAAGCUGCUAACUGGGAGUGGAACCAGCCUGAGAGGAAGACGUGUGUUGCAGUCAACAAAGCCGAAGGAAGCUGGAGAUCUGAAGAGUAUUUUGACAUCAGAUAUAAAAAUAGAAAGUUUGGAGUUUGUCCAGCUGAUUUUCGGUCUUGCUUAGGUCCAGUAUUUCCUCACUAUUGCUCCCUUCCUUAUGCUUUGGAAUGGUGAUGUAUACCCUGUGCCAUUAUAUGAUGGAGGAAAAGCAUCCUGGGGAAGGGUUCCUCUGAUAAUUCCUCAGGAGACAGCUGAGAAGAUAAAGGAGAGAUGUGAUGGCAGCCACUGGUGGACACUGCAGGCUCGAGACUUAACUGUGCUGCUGCUGUGAGUC